rnacentral:rRNA from 1 species
UUAAUAAUUAUUUAUUAUUAUUAUUAUUAUUUAUUUUAAAAUUAAUUAUUAAAAAUAAUUAUAAAAUAUAAAUGUUUUAGUAUAGUAUAUAAAAAAAAUAAUUUUAAUUAUAGUUUAUUAGUAUUGUGAAAUAAAAUUGAAAUAUUAUGAAAAAUUUUUAUUUAAAAAGAAAAUUUUAUUUAUUGUAUCUUGUGUAUCAGAGUUUAUUAAAUAAAAAAUAAUUAAUAUAUUUUUCUCGAUUUUAAAAGAUUUAAUAAAUUAUAAAAGUUAAUGUGAUAAAAUUAUUUUACAUAAUUUAUUAGAAAUGAAAUGUUAUUCGUUUUUAAAGGUAUCUAGUUUUUUAAGAAAUAAAUUUAAUUUAACUUUUAAAAUAUAUUUAUUUAUUUAUUUAAAUUAAAUAAAUUUUAAAAAGUAAUAUUUUAUGGGAUAAGCUAUAAAAUAAAUUUUUAUAAAUAAUAAAUAUUAUUUAAAAUAUUAUAUGUUUAGAAGUAUCAAUUUUUAUUAAGUUUGUUAUAAAUUAAUUUUUAUAUUAAAUUAUUUAUUAUAUUUUAAAUUUUUAUUAAAAUAUUUAUUUAAAUAUUAAAAAUAAAUUAAUAAUGAUAUAAUUAGUAUAUUUUUUUUGUAUAAUUAGAUUUAUAAUUGAAAAGUUUAAAUAAAGAAUUCGGCAAAAAUAUAAUAUUCGCCUGUUUAACAAAAACAUGUCUUUUAGUAAUUAAUUUCAAGUCUAACCUGCCCAAUGAAUUUUUUUUAAUGGCCGCAGUAUUUUAACUGUGCAAAGGUAGCAUAAUCAUUAGUCUUUUAAUUGAAGGCUAGUAUGAAUGGUUGGACGAAAUAUUAACUGUUUCAUUUAAAUUUAUAAUAAAAUUUUAUUUUUUAGUCAAAAAGCUAAAAUUUAAUUAAAAGACGAGAAGACCCUAUAAAUCUUUAUAUUUUUAUUUAUUUUAAUUUUAUAGAUAAAUUUAAUUGUGAUAAAUAUAAAUAUUUUAUUGGGGUGAUAGUAAAAUUUAAUUAACUUUUAAAAUUUAAAUCAUUAAUAUAUGAAUAAUUGAUCCAUUUUUAAUGAUUAUAAAAUUAAGUUACUUUAGGGAUAACAGCGUAAUUUUUUUGGAGAGUUCAUAUUGAUAAAAAAGAUUGCGACCUCGAUGUUGGAUUAAGAUAUAAUUUUAGGUGUAGCCGUUUAAAUUUAAAGUCUGUUCGACUUUUAAAAUCUUACAUGAUCUGAGUUCAAACCGGUGUAAGCCAGGUUGGUUUCUAUCUUUAAUAAAAGUAUAUAUUUUAGUACGAAAGGAUUAAAUAUAUAAAUAAUUUUAUUUUAUAAAUAAGAAUAUAAUUAAUUUAUUUAUAUA